rnacentral:rRNA from 1 species
GCUGAACUCUAGCGCUAGGCUUAACACAUGCAAGUCGAGGGGCAGCACAAGGUAGCUUGCUAUCUGGGUGGCGACCGGCGCACGGGUGCGUAACGCGUAUGCAACUUGCCCUAUACAGGAGGAUAACCCGUCGAAAGACGGACUAAUACUGCGUAUGCUCACAACUUGGCAUCAAGUGGUGAGGAAAGAAAUUCGGUAUAGGAUAGGCAUGCGUCCCAUUAGCUUGUUGGUGAGGUAACGGCUCACCAAGGCAACGAUGGGUAGGGGAACUGAGAGGUUUAUCCCCCACACUGGUACUGAGACACGGACCAGACUCCUACGGGAGGCAGCAGUGAGGAAUAUUGGUCAAUGGGCGCGAGCCUGAACCAGCCAAGUCGCGUGAAGGAUGACUGUCUUAUGGAUUGUAAACUUCUUCUAUACGGGAAUAACAAGAGUCACGUGUGACUCCCUGCAUGUACCGGAUGAAUAAGCAUCGGCUAACUCCGUG